GUGAGGAAUAUUGGUCAAUGGGCGGGAGCCUGAACCAGCCAAGUCGCGUGAAGGAAGAAGGAUCUAUGGUUCGUAAACUUCUUUUGCAGGGGAAUAAAGUGCAGGACGUGUCCUGUUUUGUAUGUACCCUGAGAAUAAGGAUCGGCUAACUCCGUGCCAGCAGCCGCGGUAAUACGGAGGAUCCGAGCGUUAUCCGGAUUUAUUGGGUUUAAAGGGUGCGUAGGUGGUUUGAUCAGUCAGCGGUGAAAGUUUGCAGCUUAACUGUAAAAAUGCCGGUUGAAGUGUCGGACUGGAGUGUGAAUGAGGUAGGCGGAAUGCGUGGUGUAGCGGUGAAAUGCAUAGAUAUCACGCAGAACUCCGAUUGCGAAGGCAGCUUACUAAGCUACAACUGACACUGAAGCACGAAAGCGUGGGGAUCAAACAGGAUUAGAAACCCUAGUAGUCC
rnacentral:rRNA from 1 species